UGGGGGAUAUUGCACAAUGGGCGAAAGCCUGAUGCAGCAACGCCGCGUGAGGGAAGACGGUCUUCGGAUUGUAAACCUUUAGCUUUGGGGAAGAAACAAAUGACGGUACCCAAAGGGGCAGCCACGGCUAACUACGUGCCAGCAGCCGCGGUAAUACGUAGGUGGCAAGCGUUGUCCGGAAUUACUGGGUGUAAAGGGAGCGCAGGCGGGGGGACAAGUCAGCUGUGAAAACUAUGGGCUUAACCCCAAGAUUGCAGUGGAAACUGUUUUUCUUGAGUGUAGUAGAGGUAGGGGGAAUUCCGAGUGUAGCGGUGAAAUGCGUAGAUAUUCGGAGGAACACCAGUGGCGAAGGCGGCCUACUGGGCUCUAACUGACGCUGAGGCUCGAAAGUGUGGGGAGCAAACA
rnacentral:rRNA from 1 species